AGACAGCAGUCGCCGCGGUAAUACGUAGGUGGCAAGCGUUGUCCGGAAUUAUUGGGCGUAAAGGGCUCGCAGGCGGUUUCUUAAGUCUGAUGUGAAAGCCCCCGGCUCAACCGGGGAGGGUCAUUGGAAACUGGGAAACUUGAGUGCAGAAGAGGAGAGUGGAAUUCCACGUGUAGCGGUGAAAUGCGUAGAGAUGUGGAGGAACACCAGUGGCGAAGGCGACUCUCUGGUCUGUAACUGACGCUGAGGAGCGAAAGCGUGGGGAGCGAACAGGAUUAGAUACCCCGGUAGUCCCUGUCUCUUAUAC
rnacentral:rRNA from 1 species